GACGUAGGUGGCGAACGUUAUCCGGAAUUAUUGGGCGUAAAGGGUGCGUAGGUGGCCUGACAAGUUAUCAGUGGCAAAUCGAGGCUCAACCUCGUGGAAACUGGUAAUACUGUUCGGCUUGAGUACAGGAGAGGUUAACGGAACUCUAUGUGGAGCGGUAAAAUGCACAGAUAUAUGGAAGAACAUCAAUAAAGGCGAAGGCAGUUAACUAUUCUGUUACUGACGCUGAGGCACGAAAGCGUGGGGAGCAAACAGG
rnacentral:rRNA from 1 species